ensembl:lncRNA
AUGUAAUUCAAAAGAUGGGGCUUCUAUUUGCAGAUCUAGAAGAACGGAAAACCUAAAUAUUUCAGCUAAGACUAAGAAACCUAGGCAUGAUGUUGAUAGAACUUAGGGUAAUUAAAACCAACCACAAUGAAAAGAAACUUGGAGUACCUAAAAACAUCACAGCCAUAGAAUCAUGGAACAUCCUGAGUUGGAAGGGACCCAUAAGAAUCUUCAAAUCCAGCUCCUGACACCACCACCCAAAAAUCAGACUAUAUGACUGAGAGUGUUAUCCAGUCAUGUCCCAAAAUCAGGCAGCUCGGUGCCAUGGCCAUACCCAACCUGACCCUCCCUGUCACACAUCCAUGCUGUUCCCUUGGGUUCUGCCACUGGUCACCAGAGAGAGGAGAUCACUGUCAGGAUGAAAUUAAAGGAAGCUGAUCAGCGUGUGGUGGCCGCCAACUCAUAAACAGGCACUCAUUCCGCAAACACUGCUGCAGAAUGCGCGGGAGCGUGACACUUGGACAAUUAACCCCGUAACCAGUGCGAAGGAUGAGUAGGAUCAAGAGCUGAACGUUACUUCAGUUUACAGCUGCAGCAGAAGCACUUCAGGAUUUCAGCUGUUGCUCCCAGCAGGUCUCAGUGCCUGCAGCCAGGGGAAUGGCUACAAGCGCCUGUGGCCUCAAGCCCUGCUGCUGCUCCUUGUUCCUGUCUGUAAAACAAGCCCAUUUGCUGGCAUGUUUGUUGCAGGUUUGUUAGUUCUGCCCGUUCUGCUCCGUCCUUCACUUUUCUCUACGCCUUAUUUAGCUCUAUGCAUUGAUUGUGUUUUUAAAGUGUGGCAGGGAUCAUAACAGAAAGUGGCACAAGUAAAGGGAGAGAGGUUGAAAAAAC